GACAAAACUAUAAAAACUAAAUAGGUUAGAAAGAAAGUGAUCUAACAACUUAUAAAGUAUCGACGAUAAAUUAAAGUAAAAUGUUUAAUUAAAUAAGAUAAAUUAAAUUAAAAACUGAGGUCGAAAGUGGAAGAAAAAUCUCGACUAGGGAAAAGACACUUACAUUCUGUUUUGAUGCUGAUUGAUGAUGAUUAUCUUUCGAGCUCCCGUUGCCCAUCUUUGACAAAUCGAGCGAAACUUCAGACGAUUAAUUGGCUAAAUUCACGUUGAAAUCUAUCUCGAUCUCGAGUAUCGAUAACAAACAACGCAUCACUUCACCGCGUAAACAUUUUUCUCGUACUUUUUGCGAUAUAUAUCGAGAGUGAAUAACACGCAAUAAGAAGCUGUCAACUUCACCCGUCCGAGUGAAAUCAGAGUCGGAGUCGGAGUGUUCCCGAUCGCGCGAGCGAAUCGCGAAUGCGAAUCCUCGUCGAGGAGGAGAACGAGAUUUCGAUAUCGCCUUCGCUCUAAUUAGCUAAGCCGUAACGUAAUUCGGGGAGAAAAUCCGAGAGAGAAUCGCACAUCCGGCCAGAUGGACGCUCACUUCCGACUCCCGGCAGCCCACCCUCACGCGAACUCGUCGCUGACUCUUAGCUAAAAGAGUGCCGGAAGCCAUGCUGUACUAAACAGGAUGCCGAAGGAACAAUGGGCAACUCAGGAUGAAGGCGAAGAAACGAACAAAACGUAGCUUGA